UACAGGGGGUGCAAACGUUGCUCGGAAUCAUUGGGCGUAAAGCGCACGUAGGCGGUCUGUUAAGUCGGAUGUGAAAGCCCCGGGCUCAACCCGGGAAGUGCAUACGAAACUGGCGGACUUGAAUAUGGAAGAGGGUCGCGGAAUUCCCGGUGUAGAGGUGAAAUUCGUAGAUAUCGGGAGGAACACCAGUGGCGAAGGCGGCGACCUGGGCCAAUAUUGACGCUAAUGUGCGAAAGCGUGGGGAGCAAACAGG
rnacentral:rRNA from 1 species